rnacentral:rRNA from 1 species
GACGAACGCUGGCGGCGUGCUUAACACAUGCAAGUCGAACGGAAAGGCCCUGCUUGCAGGGUACUCGAGUGGCGAACGGGUGAGUAACACGUGGGUUAUCUGCCCUGCACUUCGGGAUAAGCCUGGGAAACUGGGUCUAAUACCGGAUAGGAGCCAUUUUUAGUGUGAUGGUUGGAAAGUUUUUUCGGUGUAGGAUGAGCUCGCGGCCUAUCAGCUUGUUGGUGGGGUAAUGGCCUACCAAGGCGGCGACGGGUAGCCGGCCUGAGAGGGUGGACAGCCACAUUGGGACUGAGAUACGUCCCAGACUCCUACGGGAGGCAGCAGUGGGGAAUAUUGCACAAUGGGCGCAAGCCUGAUGCAGCGACGCCGCUUGGGGGAUGACGGCCUUCGGGUUGUAAACUCCUUUCGCUAGGGACGAAGCUUUUUGUGACGGUACCUAGAUAAGAAGCACCGGCUAACUACGUG